rnacentral:rRNA from 1 species
UACGUAGGGGGCAAGCGUUGUCCGGAAUCAUUGGGCGUAAAGAGCGCGUAGGCGGUCCGGUAAGUCCGCUCUGAAAGUCCGGGGCUCAACCCCGGGAGGCGGGCGGAUACUGUCGGGCUAGAGUCCGGAAGAGGCGAGUGGAAUUCCUGGUGUAGCGGUGAAAUGCGCAGAUAUCAGGAGGAACACCGGUGGCGAAGGCGGGUCUCUGGGCCGAUAUUGACGCUGAGGAGCGAAAGCGUGGGGAGCAAACAGG